GAUGAACGCUGGCGGCGUGCCUAAUACAUGCAAGUCGAGCGAACGGACGAGAAGCUUGCUUCUCUGAUGUUAGCGGCGGACGGGUGAGUAACACGUGGAUAACCUACCUAUAAGACUGGGAUAACUUCGGGAAACCGUAGCUAAUACCGGAUAAUAUUUUGAACCGCAUGGUUCAAAAGUGAAAGACGGUCUUGCUGUCACUUAUAGAUGGAUCCGCGCUGCAUUAGCUAGUUGGUAAGGUAACGGCUUACCAAGGCAACGAUGCAUAGCCGACCUGAGAGGGUGAUCGGCCACACUGGAACUGAGACACGGUCCAGACUCCUACGGGAGGCAGCAGUAGGGAAUCUUCCGCAAUGGGCGAAAGGCUGACGGAGCAACGCCGCGUGAGUGAUGAAGGUCUUCGGAUCGUAAAACUCUGUUAUUAGGGAAGAACAUAUGUGUAAGUAACUGUGCACAUCUUGACGGUACCUAAUCAGAAAGCCACGGCUAACUACGUG
rnacentral:rRNA from 1 species